GUUAGGAAUCUUCCACAAUGGGGGCAACCCUGAUGGAGCAACACCGCGUGCUGGAUGAAGGCCUUCGGGUCGUAAACAGCUUUUGUAUACGAAGAAUAUGACGGUAAUAUACGAAUAAGGGUCGGCUAACUACGUGCCAGCAGCCGCGGUCAUACGUAGGACCCAAGCGUUAUCCGGAGUGACUGGGCGUAAAGAGUUGCGUAGGCGGCUUAUUAAGCGAGUAGUGAAAUCUGGUGGCUCAACCAUCAACACAUUGCUCGAACUGAUAGGCUUGAGAAUGGUAGAGGUAGUUGGAAUUUCUUGUGUAGGAGUGAAAUCCGUAGAUAUAAGAAGGAACACCAAUGGCGUAGGCAGACUACUGGACCAUUUCUGACGCUGAGGCACGAAAGCGUGGGGAGCGAACCGGAUUAGAUACCCUAGUAGUCC
rnacentral:rRNA from 1 species